AGUGAACGCUGGCGGUAGGCCUAACACAUGCAAGUCGAACGACAGCACAGGAGAGCUUGCUCUCUAGGUGGCGAGUGGCUGACGGGGGAGGAAUACAUCGGAAUCUGCCCAGUCGUAGGGGGUAACGUAGGGAAACUUACGCUAAUACCGCAUACGACUUUCGGGUGAAAGAGGGGGAUCGCAAGACCUCUCGCGAUUGGAUGAGCCGAUGUCGGAUUAGCUAGUUAUCGGGGUAAUGGCCCGCCAAGGCGACGAUCCGUAGCUGGUAUGAGGGGGUGACCAGACACACUGGAACUGAGAAACGGUCCAGACUCUUACGGGAGGAAGCAGUGGGGAAUAUUGGACAAUGCGCGCAAGCCUGAUCCUGGCAUACCGCGUGGGUGAAGAAGGACUUAGGGUUGUAAAGCCAUUUUGUUGGGAAAGAAAUAUAUCAGGCUCAUAUCCUGAGAGGAUGACGGUACCCAAAGAAUAAGCCCCGGCUAACUUCGUG
rnacentral:rRNA from 1 species